CAGUUGAGAGGGCCGCAUCAGGCGGUUCGCCAGGCACAAGCCUACUCGGCUG
ncrna:unclassified sequences DTF3800-VI RNA